CCACAGGCAGCUCACUACACAACCAUUACUUCAAGAUCAGCAGGAGGGUCUCACUCCUGUCUGCUAAGGCAAAGGAAUCGACUGGUCCUCUCUUCAUUCCCACAAACGCGUAUCAUGGAAUAAACAGAAGAGUGAGGAGCACCAUACCAUGCUACUGAGUCUGCCCCAUCAACCACUGGCUGUAAAAAAGAGAUGAGGAGAUGGUGACAGUCACCAAACUCUGCUGCAGAUGAGACUUUUCUUCCCUGGGACUUCUGAGUUGGUGAGGCUGGUUGACGGAUACUGGAAAUAGAGCGCAAAGGAAUAGUGAGAUGCAGCCCAAAGAGACUGAUAGACAAUGAGAACAAGUUUUGAAGACUGAGGAGGGCAGCGUCUGAAACUCUAGAUGAGAGGCCUUCAAUCUUCAACUCGGGUUGAGAGGGAGCUGGAUCAGAUCAAAUCAUAUUUUCUUUGGUGUCUGUAAAGCUCAUGGCAGUUCAUCUACUGAAUUUGACCCCAGAAAUCUCAGAUAACAGUAUGGGGCUGUGGUUUGGGUCUCAAGACAGCGCCAAUGAACUCUAAUGUCUAUAAUCUUCAACGCUGUGUUACAAGUCUAGCUGAUCCUUCUGCAGUUCUGCAGCUUUAUUUUGCAGGCUUUCAAUAUGCAGCCUCAGUCAUACUUUUGUAUUUCUAUUCCUGUCAAGAAAACAUAGUCCUCUCUUCUCUCCCUCUAUAGAAAUCUCACACAUCCUUCCAUGUCUCCUUCAAAUAUCAGCUCCUGCAAAGACCUUCUUGAUGAUCUACAAGCAGUGACCACUACUUCCUCUGAUUUUGUCAUUUGUCCCCCUUCUAUAACACUUCCCCUCUCCUGCUAUAUGUGGCUUUGUUUAUAAUUGUUGAUUUUUUUCAACUAGACUGAAAGUUUCUUGAGGGCAGAGGUUACAUAGUGACUUCCAAGUAAUCGGUGUAGUAUCCUAGGUGCCCAACCAAUAUUUGCUUUUUUGAUUAAUUGGAUUACAUUAAAAUCAAAUGUUCUCUGCCUCCACUCCACACCUCCAUGGGCCCCAGAACAUCCACAGAGUCUCCACCAACCAGACUGUCUGUGUGGGAGGUGGGAUUCACAAGAAAUAAACCAAAAUGAGUUACGUAGAAAAAUUUGAUGAGAUCACAAAAGAUGAGUGGAUGGAAGCUCAACAGCCUACAUAUCCAGCGGGUGGACAUGAACUAUGUGGUCACAGAGGGUUUUAAGGAAGCAGCAGAGAAGGGUUGCAUGGAAUCUGGAAUUGAAUUCAGUGUGGAUCUGAAAACUCUUUAUGAGGGAAUCUAGAGAUGAUUCUGGAGGGUCAGAUUCAGGAGGCCAUGGUGUGGAUCAACARCCUCCACCUGGAGUUCUUGGACAUAAACCUGUACCCUUUACUUUCAUCUGCAUAUUUGGAGUGAAGUUGACCAAGCUGUUCCAGAUUAUGAAAACCACCAGUCAACACUGCAGCUGAUGAAAUUACUGAAACUGCUACUUUGGGCUUAGAGUGAGAUGGACCGAAAUAAAAUAUCUCCUAAAUGACAGAACUUAGCAAAGGUGUGAACAAGGAGCCCAAAUAGAGCCUGUACAGGCCAACCCCUCUCAGUCCUGUUGCAUGGGACUCACCUUCCGUCCUUGUGAAAGAUUUUCAUUGUAGUAGGAAAUUUU